CUGAAUAACGGGGCGUGGCUUUGGCCUAACUGCGUUGGCAAAAAGAAAGACGCGGUAUUGCCUGGGGUAAACAUUUGGGCGUCUACAUGCUCAUCCCUUGAACUGAACAAUGCUAGCAAAAACAACCAGACACUACUGCACCUCAAAUAAUUUUCCAAGUUGGAAUAAUGUAAAGAGUCGUUUGGUGGGUUCGAAGAGUGGAACGUAAACUAUAAUGAAAGUUUAGACCAGACAGAGUCAGCAUACAGGAGCUCUACAAGACAUUACUUUAUUCAUGACAGGCAAGAUAGCCACCAUCUCCCAUACUGCUACAGUAGCUGUCAGGAAGGCUAAGUACUGGACUGUCCACUUGUCUGAAACGUCAUUACCAAUUAAUACUUUUUACCCAGACUUUUACACUCAUUUACUUUGGCUGUGUGGACGUAGUGGGAAUGGGGCUUCUCCCGCCACUCAAAACGGGCCCGAGCCUUGGUUUCUACAAGAUAGAUGCGACUAAAUACACUACAACAAUUCUAAGUGCAUGGUUGCAUGGGGUUGCACUGGCGUGGGAUUAUUCUGCUCUCUGGCCGCCUGGAUGCCCUAAUGGAUGGAGCUGCCUACAUGUGUGCUGCAUGGGAUAACUUUGCUACUAGCUACUGUUUGUGUGUGUGACUUUUUGUGUCACUAUGAAAAUGGAACCAAAAGAGAUCUCGGGAUGGUGGGCCUGCUGUGUGUAUGCAGAAUAAAAUAAUUGACAUAGGGUUCUGCUGUGACUUCAACAAUGCUGACACUGAGAGGUUUACCCUUAAGGACAGAAGAAUGGACUUCAUUUAAUAGAAGGCUUCUUCUUCUUUGGACUUUAUAUGACGGUUGGAAACCAACUUUAAGGUGCAUUACCACUACCAACUGGACUGGAGUGUGGACCUCAGCUCAUCUUUCAAUCACCCACGUGGGUAUAUGCUCCUAAAAAACAAUGAGGACAUGGCAUGGACAUGGAUAUGCUCCUAAAACCCAAUGAGAAGAUGAGAGAGGCGGGACUUGCAGCGCAUCAAGGAUCACAAAUAUAAGUUUUAUUUUAGCACCUGGCUACGCAGACGGUUGUUGAAGCGCGCAAACUGUGUUGGUGCAAUGAUUGAAUAACAUGUAUGUAUCCAUUUAUUUUGUGACGCGAGCGGUGUGGUCAGCAUGUAAUCGACGUAUAUCAUGUGUACAGUAUAUGACUAAUAAACAAACUUGAACUUG